CCUACGGGUGGCAGCAGUGGGGGAUAUUGCACAAUGGGGGAAACCCUGAUGCAGCGACGCCGCGUGGGUGAAGAAGUAUUUCGGUAUGUAAAGCUCUGUCAGCAGGGAAGAAAGAAAUGACGGUCCCUGGCCAAGAACCCCCGGCUAACUACGUGCCAGCAGCGGCGGUAAUACGUAGGGGGCAAGCGUUAUCCGGAAUUACGGGUGGUAAAGGGAGCGUAGACGGUGAUGCAAGUCUGAAGUGAAAGGCGGGGGCCCAACCCCGGGACUGCACUGGAAACUGUCUAACUUGAGUGCAGGAGAGGUAGGCGGAAUUCCUAGUGUAGCGGUGAAAUGCGUAGAUAUUAGGAGGAACACCAGUGGCGAAGGCGGCUUACUGGACUGUAACUGACGUUGAGGCUCGAAAGCGUGGGGAGCAAACAGGAUUAGAUACCCGUGUAGUC
rnacentral:rRNA from 1 species